CUCAAAUGUUGCUCUCUUGGUCAGCCAAUCAGAGACAUCCUCUAAAUUGCAGCGUAAUGACAGACGUUUGUGGUUAGAUAGUAACUCUUACUUGAGAAAACCUACAAGAAGGCCACACUUCCAAGGUAAAGUGCAUCUUUUUUUUUUUUUUUUUUUUUUUUUGGUACGGGGAUCGAACUCAAUACCUUGUGCUUUGAAGGAGGGGGUGGCACCACUGAGCUAAAUCCCUGGCCCUAAAGUGCAUUUUACAAUGAGUUUUCAUUGGUUAGAAGAGAAUUGUUUUUUUUUUUAAAAAAAAGCCUAGGCUUUGGACUUCACUUUCAUUUCCUGAUCAGUCUGUUAUUUCAAGCUUAGCUUGUUUGGAGCAAAAGUUGAGCAACUUGAUAUUACAGCAGACAUCAUAGCCUAGUGGCAAGAGCCUUUGGUGUAGCAGAUCUGAUGUGAAUACAAGCUUUUGCAAAUAUAUAAGUAAUGUGUGUCAUCAGGUAAGUCACUGCACUCCGAGCCUCAGUUCCCAUAUCUACAAAAUAGAAAAGAUGAUGUUUACAUUUCAGUUUUUGGAAGGAUCAGAGAUAGUACAGGGAAGUGCCUAGCAUAGCGCCUGGAACAUUAAAUUGUCAAAUAUGUUGGCAACAGUUGCUGUAUUCUGGUUUUGAUGAUAUGAAUGAAUGGAUUCCUCAUUAUCCAGUCUUCAGUUGUAGCUUUGAUUCUCCUCCACUGUGGGAGAACCUGAUGAAGGCACUAACUCCUCUCAGGAAAAUGUUUACCAUUCCAGGGGUUUUGUGGAUCUCAGAAGCGCACAUAUACCCCAAAGUUCAAGGACUCUGAGCUUUAGGCUUUUCUAGUACCUCUAUGCUAGGGCUCUUAAGUUAAAAGAGGCUAUAUGUGAGGAGAUUCUAGAGAACCUAUAUUGUUUUAUUUUUUAAUUUAGUGUUGCUUAAAUAGGUAUGUUAUUUUAUGCAAAUUUAUCAAGCUGCACUGUGUGUGUGUGUGUGUGUGUUUGUGUGCACAUGCACACACACGUGCAUGCUUGGCUGGGGUGGAACCCAUGGUCUUGUGCAUGCUAAGCAAGGGCUCUACUACUGAGCUACAUCCUCAGCCAGACACUUAAAAUGUUUAUACUUGGGCCUGGGAUUUAGUGCAGUGGUUCCCGUGCCUGCCUCACAAGCGCAAGGUCCCAAGUUCGAUCCACAGUACCAAAAAAAGAAAAUAAAAUGUUUAUACUUUUCUCUAGGUAUAUUAUAUACUUCAAUAAAAAUUUUAUUUACAGAAUUAAAUAUGUCCAGUAUAGUGGCACAUGCCUGUAAUUCCAGCACUCAGGAGGCUGAGGCAGGAGGAUCGCCAUGAGUUCGAGGCCAGCCUGGGCUACCUAGUGAGUUCAAGGCCAUCCUGAACUACAUAGUGAGACCCUGUCUCAAAAAACAAAAAACGAAAGAUUUAAAUAUGGGAGUAGGGGUAUAAUUCAGUGGUAGAGCACUUUGCCCAGAAUGGACAAGGCCCUGGGUUCCAUCCCAGCUCUGCAAAAAAAAAACAACAAAAAAUAAAUGUACAUUGAGGCUCAAGACUAUGGUGAAAGGUGUUGCCAGAGGCAGAAGGAAAGAGCACAGACUUUGAAAUCAGACACUUAACUGGGCAUGGUGGCCCUUGCCUGUAAUUCCAGCAUCUGGGAGGCUGAGGCAAGGGCUGAGACAAGUUCAAGCUCAGCCUGAGCAACUUAGUGACUUAGCAAGACCCUGCCUCAAAAUUUGAAAAAAGCUUAAGGGUAUAGCUUAGUGUGAAUGCCCUGGGUUCAAUCAACAGUACCACAAAAGAAGGAAGGAAAGGAAGGAGGGAGGGAGGGAGGGAGGAAAAAAGAAAAAGAAAAAAAAUAUCAGGCCUUUCACCUUUCUCCUAGCUAUGUGCCUUUAUGAGUUCCCUAACUUCUCAGAUCCAUGGAUUCUCACAUGUUAAAUAGCAAUGGCCCCUAGUUCAGAGCAUUAUGAAGAUGUUCUGCAAGGAGCUGGUGCGUGUAGAAAUGCAGCAGAAAUGCAGCAUGACAUAUUCAGCAAAUGUCAUUGUUCCCCAUUCCCUGAGGAUGGGCAGGAAAUGACUCAGAGCUGCCUUUACUGCCAAUCUUCACUGCUGAUAGGUAGCAGGUUUAUUUGUUUUUUGUUAAAUGUAGCUUAUAUUUUUGCCACAAUUAGAGAACCAUUUUAUAUUUCAUUACUAUAAUGUCCUGCCUGUCUCCUUGCCUUACAGCCCUCCACAGGUACAAUUCUCAAAUAACAAUGUUCUUAGCCCGGUUGUCUUUCUUCUUUGUGUUUGCUGUUCUCACGGUUGACAGUAACUCAGAAUGUGUGCUGCCUCUGACAGAUCCCCAUGCCUGGGAAUUGGGAGAAUCCUAGUAAGUACCAAAUAUUAGAACGAUGUCCUGUUUCUCCUCGCUUCGGGUAAAGGCAAGGAUAGUGUGAUUUGAGAGGUGACAGUAGAAGCACAGCUUCACAAGAGAGAUGACAACGUGCAAUGAUGGCUGAACUCUGAUAACUAGACCUAGAUUACAGUGGUUCUCAUCUCUGUUGGGAAAGAUUAAGACAAAAAAAAGACGACUUCUGCUUCUGGCCAUUAUGGACUAACAGGGCCUCGAUUUCUCUUCUUGUCAUAAACAACUAAAAUGCUAGACCCUGGACAACUGGCAGUGGAAGACAGUGAUCUCUGGAGAAAGGGAAUCAAGUGAGGCUGGCCAUGGUGGCACACACCUCUAAUCCAGCACUUAGAAGCUGCAAAACUGGAAGAAUUCAUCACUGGCACCCAGAACAGCAAGGAAUCUUCAGGGGGAAGAAGUUUAAAGAAGUCUUCAAGGGGUGGUGCACACCUGCAAUCCCAGCACUUGGGAGGCUAAGGCAGGAGGAUCACCAAGAGUUGGAGGCCAGCUUGAGCUAUACAGGGAGUUCAAGGCCAGCCUGCAUUACAAAGUGAAACCCUGUCUCAAAAACAAACAAACAAAAAACAGGAGAGAGAAGAGACACACAGUAACAUGGUAGUCUUACAAUGUGCUUGAGUGAUUGAUUUUUGCAGAACUGGGGAUUGAACCCAGGGCUUUCACACUGAGCUGCAUCCCCAUUACAUUUUAUUUUUUAUUUUGAGAUACCAUCUCUCUUAAGUCCUUAAACUGCCCAGGCUGGACUUGAACUCACAAUCCUCUUGCCUCAACCUAGAAUGCUGGGAUUACAGGCCUGUACCACCACACCCAGUUUUACAAUGUGAUUUAUGAUAGAGGCUUUGAAUGUGCGUAUGGGUACCAACCUGUGAAUAACAUAUGGGUAUGAACUGCAGACUUAAGGUCGACCAUGUAUGUGAUUGCCCCGGUUAAAAACUCUGGAUACCAAGGUCUCAGGUGAGUUUCCAUGGUUGGCAGUGCUCUGAGUACAACACACUUUAAUGCCAGGAGAGUAACAUUUCUGAGGUGACAGGAGCCUAGCAUUUAGAACUCCCUAGACUGUGCCCUGGGUGUUUCUUCCCUUGGCUGGGCUUUUUUUUUUUUUUUUUUUUUGGUACUGGGGAUUGAACUCGGGACCUUGCACUUUUGAGGCAGGCGGUGGAUGGCUGGGUUUUUUAUUACCAUAAACUGGGUGUGGUGGUGCACACCUGUAAUCCCAGGACUUCAGAAGCUGAGGCAAGAGGAUCACUGAGGAUCACUGUGAGUUCAAGGCCAGCCUGAACUAUAUAGUGAGACCUUGUCUCAAAAAAAAAUUUAUCAUAAAUUGCCACAAUACAACUGUAGUAGCACUUUCUUGAGCUCUGUGAGUCAUUCUAGCAUGUGAUAGAACCUGAGGCUCAUCAUAUAAAUGCCUAAGAGAGGGUGACCCUAGGGAUGCCUGCACUUGUGACCUUCUGAAGACAAGGAAGCCUGGUAGGGACCGUUCCCCCAGACUGUGCCACUUGCUUAAACUCCCUUAUAACUAGUCAACAAUAAAAAGGAACAAACCAUCAAUAAAUGUAUAUGUGGGUGAAUGCUGAAUCAUAUUAUAAAAGAGCUAGGACCCUUUCCCAUAAAGAGUGCACAGUAUAUGGUUACAUUCUUACAGAAUCUUGCUCUAGAUCAGACAGAUCAGUGGUUGUCUGGGCAUGGAGUGGCAUAGGAUAAUUCCAAAAUGGGAUGAGGAACAUUUUGGAGGGUGUAGAUAUGUCAACUGAUUUCCUACUAUCAGAAUUUACCAAACUGUAUAUUUUAAAUAUGUGCAUUUUAUUUAUAUUGAAUAUACUUCUUUACUUUUGCUUUGUUUUGGUUUUUGGUACCAGGGAUUGAACUCAGGUCCUUGCGCUUGUGAGGUAGUUCUUUAUUUUUUUUGUUUUUUUGUUUUGGUACCAGGGAUCUGAACUCGGGUCCUUGAACUUUCGAAGCAGGCAGCGGAACCACUGAGCUAAAUCCCGGCCCUUUUGUUUUGUUUUUUGAGACAAGGUCUCACUAUGUAGUUCAGAUGGGCCUUGAACUAUGUAGCCCAGGUUGACCUCAAACUCACAGCAAUUGUCCUGCCUCAGCCUCUCAAGUGCUAGGCCGAUUAUACUUUUUUUUUUUUGAUACAGGGAAUUGAACUCAGGACCUUGCAAUUACCAGGCAGGGGCGGUGCCACUCAGCUAAAUCCCCAACCUUGAUUAUACUUCUUUAAUAAAGUUUUUAAAAUUUAAAACCUGAUAAUGAGGUUCCAUCUCACAUCAAUUAAAUGAGAAUUUCAGUAGGUGGAGCCCUUGCAUUAGUGUUUUUUUUAAAUACAGUAUUAGUAAUUCUUUUUUUUUUUUUGGUAGCAGGGAUCGAACUCGGGUCCUUGUGCUUGCACAGCAGGCGGCAAAACCACUAAGCUAAGUCCCCAGCCCCAGUAUUAGUAAUUCUAAUGUAAACAAAGGGUGAAAUAACAGCCUGUGGGACAGGUAGAAAAGGUCAAAAGGUAUCAUCUUUAGAAUCACUUCAUUCCUACAAAGUGCACCACAAGUCCCAGUGCAGCCGCUUCUCCACUGUCCAUCACUUUCCCUGUCCAGGUAGGACUUCCCUGUGCCUCUGGGAAACAGCAAAGAAAAGAGACACAAUAGAGCAUUCUUGGUAUUUGGCUCUGAGGCAGGACUCCUCAAGCUGGUGUCCAAGGAGGGACUCCAGGUCUGGUCUGUCAGCAGGCCCACUAAAACUGCAACUGAAGUUAAGGAGCGCAUGAGUUUUUCCAUGGAGAGGGCCCAUAACUGUCAGUGGAUUUGUAAAGAGGUCCAAAGGCCUAAGAAGCACCGUUGGAGCGGCACAAGGAAACAUUACACACGUACUGGGUGCAGGGGUGAGUGGAGAGAAGGGAAACUAAAGGGUUUGGAAGGCUCAGUCACAGGUUGGCCUGCAGCAGUCUGGAGUUGAUUGGCCGUCUCUUGGGAAGUGACUAUUCUCAUCUGGAUCUACUCAGAAUACAGCUACUCAUGCUGCCAGGGCCCGGCUUUCUCCAGCUGGCUUCCAGACUAACCAGCCCACUCUAGUGUCUUGACCUAGCCCUGCCUUUUCCAGGUAAGUGGGCAGGAUUUCCUGAAGCUGAGAGAUCUGGAGGGGCCUCCACCCCUCGGCUCUAAUCAUCUCACACAUGUGGAUGGGGGUGGACACUGGCUCUUCUUGUCCUUCCCAAAGGGGAGUUGUGCCUGUGGCCACAGUGAGCUGUGGAAAGGAAUGAAUUCUUUGGAGCUAAAUUAUGUAUUUAUCUAAGCUGACCUUUUCACCUUGGCUCAGUCCUUAGAGGAGAAACUUCCUGACCUCAGAAUUUCCCUUAAGGACAUGGGACAAAAGAGUUCAAAAGAUCUUCAUAAUAAUUAGUCAUUGUCAGCACUAAGUAGGUAUAAUUUCUAAGAACAUGUUCAACUCAAAGUUUCAAUGAUUCUACCCGUUCUUGGAAAAUUACUAAUGAGAGUUACAAAACAAUGGCACACAGCUCUUGCCCUCAGUUGUGAAGAUAACAUGCACAAGUCACAGUUAAAAAGAAAAGUCUAGUGCCUUUAAUUCUAGCACUGUGGGAGGCUAAGGCAGGAGGAUCCGAAGUUUAAGCCCAACCUGGACAACUUUGCAAUUUAGCAAGAUCCUAUCUCAAAAAUAAAAACUGGAGGGGUUGGGGAUUUAGCUCAGUGGCUCCGAGCCUGCCUUGCAAGUGAAAGGUCCUGCCUUGAGUUGGAAACCCGGUACCAAAAAAAUAAAAAUAAAAAGUAGAGGCAACCCACUUUUGGGUCCCCUCUUGUCUCUCAGGAGCUCUCUCUCUAAAUAAAUUUUUCUAUCCUAAAAUAAAUAAAUAUAUAGGUAAAAACUAAAAAAGGGAGGAGGGGUAUAGCUCAGCAGGAAGGCACUGACUUCAAUCCCUAGUACCACAAAAGAGGGAAGGAAGGAAGGAAGGAGAGGAAGGGAGGAAGGCUAACGUAAAUUUUCUCUAAGACACCAAGGUAAGAAAUAUCCUUCUCAAAUAGGCAAGGUGAAGGAGAGCUUCAAUCAUAUUUUAGGCAGGUCUCACCCCUCUCCAAAGUCAUCUGUAAGAAUAAGAGAAAGACCACUGGUAUCAUCUGUCCACAGAGAUACUGACCUGGUCCACAUGGUCUAGUGUUUCCCAUUCAUGGAGCCCUCUUUGUGCCCUAUGAAACAUAUUCCAUCUUAUCAGAGGUCUUGCUGAUGUGAGUUCUCAUCAAAUCGGCCAUGUUCCUGUCUACUUUCUCCAAUUCCAGGAGAUAAUCACCUUUGUUGAGGUGGAUAGAGCCAGCACACCUCUGCCUCAGCACUAAACCAUUUCACUGCUCCUGACACCUGAGAAGCCCUGGGUCCCCAGUACUAUUUUCUUUUUUUUUUUCUUUUGGUAUCUGGGAUCGCACUCGGGACCUUGCACUUGCCCAGCAGGCAGCGAAACCCAGUACUAUUUUCUUCUUGAAAUGACAAAAGGGAAAUUGCCUCUCAAGAAAAUAAGACCUAAUAGGCACCAGGUACUUUGUUACCUAGUUCUUAAAGCUAUCUUACUUGCAAGAAUCUUCUCUGACUUUAUGGGUGCAGUCUAGGAAACAGUGACACUAUAGGAGAGACAAGUUAAUAGUAGAGACAUGGCAAGCGACUCUUCUGUGACUGCUUCAUGUACUUCGCCUGUGUUGACUUUUGCCAUCCCUAUAACAAUGUGCUAAUCACCCUUUUACCAGUAAAGCAGCAGAGAAGUGGUUACCCACCCAGGUGUAAGCUAGAAAGCCUCAGAGCCAGGAUCCGAACCCAGGCAGUCUUGGCCUUGCAGCCCACGAACUUAGUAACAAUUCUACACCACACAGACAGGAGCCAGCCCAGAACUGAGGAAUGUCUUGGGUAGACUACUACUGGGCAGGCAUCUCAGGAAAAAAGGUUGGAUGAAUAAAGGGUCUUCAAGACAAGGGGAGGAAUCUGAGUUUGUGCUUUAACUAAAAAAUAAUGUCUUUUUGUUCAACCUGUCCACACUAUACCACACAAGUGUUCUUAUUGUAAGAUCCCGGAUAGAGCCCAGAGAGCUCUGAACCCCUGGAAUUUUAGUGUGUAUCAAUGUACUUGUUCUGGGGAGACAGCUUAGGAUUUUUUUCAGGUUCCCAGCCACAUCCUCCAAGGUGGAGAACCUUGGAGUGUGUGUAUCAAUAGAAGAGUCGCUCUGUUUAGCCCUAUAGCUACACUCUUAAACCUCAGAGCCUAUGUCGCUGUAUCUGUAAUGGAGGGAUAAUAGAACCUACCCCUCUGGUUUAGUUGUAAAGUGGAUACAUUAUCACUAUAAAUCAUAGCCAAGUCAUACUAACUAUAUAAAAUUUAUAACAUUAAAAUUGUGCAAAAUAUACAAAUGUUAUAAAUAAAUGUGAGUUAUGAUAACAAAAUGCAUGUUUUUAACAUUUUUCCCAAGGGGAGGAAUGGGA
rnacentral:lncRNA from 1 species